rnacentral:rRNA from 1 species
CUGGAAUCGCUAGUAAUCGUAGAUCAGCAUGCUACGGUGAAUACGUUCCCGGGUCUUGUACACACCGCCCGUCACACCACGAGAGUUUGUAACACCCGAAGCCGGUGGAGUAACCAUUUGGAGCUAGCCGUCGAAGGUGGGACAAAUGAUUGGGGUGAAGUCGUAACAAGGUAGCCGUAUCGGAAGGUGCGGCUGGAUCACCUCCUUUCUAAGGA